GCGACCGGCGCACGGGUGAGUAACACGUAUCCACCUGCCGACAACACUGGGAUAGCCUUUCGAAAGAAAGAUUAAUACCGGAUGGCUCCGCAUGGGUAAAGAAUUUCGGUUGUCGAUGGGGAUGCGUUCCAUUAGGCAGUUGGCGGGGUAACGGCCCACCAAACCUACGAUGGAUAGGGGUUCUGAGAGGAAGGUCCCCCACAUUGGAACUGAGACACGAUCCAACCUUUACGGGAGGCAGCAGUGAGGAAUAUUGGUCAAUGGACGAGAGUCUGAACCAGCCAAGUAGCGUGAAGGAUGACUGCCUAUGGGUUGUAAACUUCUUUUAUACGGGAAUAAGUGAGCCACGUGUGGCUUUUUGUAUGUACCGUAUGAAUAAGGAUCGGCUAACUCCGUGCCAGCAGCCGCGGUAAUACGGAGGAUCCGAGCGUUAUCCGGAUUUAUUGGGUUUAAAGGGAGCGUAGGCGGGUUGUUAAGUCAGUUGUGAAAGUUUGCGGCUCAACCGUAAAAUUGCAGUUGAUACUGGCGACCUUGAGUGCAACAGAGGUAGGCGGAAUUCGUGGUGUAGCGGUGAAAUGCUUAGAUAUCACGAAGAACUCCGAUUGCGAAGGCAGCUUACUGGAUUGUAACUGACGCUGAUGCU
rnacentral:rRNA from 1 species